UCCCCUUCUUUCCUGUCUUCCUGUUAGUAAAUAUCCCCAGGAUGCACCUCAGAACAGCCAGAAGGUGUAGGAGGCCUGGAGAGGGAGAGAGAGAGAGAGAGAGAGAGACAGAAGAGGAAGAGAAAAGAAAGACGGCAGCAGACUGGGCCCAAAAGCACAGACAGUAUUGACUAAGUUGACCUCCCUGCUGUCGGAAGGACUCUCAGAAGUCUAUAGAUCAUGUACGACUGACUGAAACUAAGACAUGGACAAAAAUCCCAUAGGGGAGAAUGCUGAGCAGGAGUUGGGAUCUGUAGAUCACAUGAUGGAUGAAGUGCUGAACACCCACUGUGUCUACCGCAUUGUACAAGGUUUGGCAGCCGGGCCGGAGUAGCUGUUCUAACAGGUGGUGGCAGGGGUAACAGAGCCAGAGCUCCUGAUCAUCGUGUUGGAACUCCCUGGUUGAUUCUUUGAUAUCAGACUACAAGAGGACAAAACAGUGACACAGGACACUUCCUGUCCCAAAUGGGACCGUGAUACAGGACACCUGAAACAACAAGCAGACAAAAAGUUUCACAGAGCUGCUCCAGGGAUGCUGAGCCUCUGGCUGCCCUGUGAUAGUCAGGACCUCUGUUUUGUCCUAGUCCAGAAGCUUUUUGGGAGGAGGCAGAUGAGAAGAACCAGGAGACAGAGCCUGAAGGAAGUUCAGACAUGUGAAUGAGCCCAGGCUCAAAGACUCUGGGUUGUAAAGGAAUGUAGUAGGGAGGCUCAGGCUUACCGUUUUCCAUUCCUUCAUCUGAUCCUUGUGUGUCAUACUGUCAAGGCCCUGCACCAUCCCAGUCAGCUUCUAUUGGACUCUCUGUAGCUUAUCAAUGUCCUUCUUAAAAUGCGUUGCUUAGAACUGAACACUAUGUGGUCAAAUGGCAGGGUAGGAUAUAGUGGCACUGUUAUCUACCCUGUCCUGGACACUAUGCCUCUUUUGGGGGCUACCAUAUUGUGUUCUUGAAUCACCUUGAGUUUGUGGUCCACUAAAACCUCAAGAUCUUUUUCAAAGUCCAACCCAUAUUUUACUUGUGAAUUUGAUUUUUUGGGGAAAUCUAACAUAAGACUUUGCAGCUAUUCCUGUUGAAAUUUAAUCUAAUUAGAUUUACAUCAAUGUUCUGUCCUGUGGAGAUCCUUUUGGUUCUUGAUUCUCACCCAGUAUGUUAGCUAUCCCCGCCCCCCCCCCCAGCUUUGCUUCACCUCGCGCUCUGGUCUUAUGCACUAACCUUUCGGAUAAAUUUAAUUAACUUGAAAUCAUAAGUUAUCCACACCCUUUGAACCAGGGAUUCUAUUACUAGGCUUAUACCCCAAGAAGGCCAUUGAUAAGAAGAGAGUCCCCACAUUCACCAACAUUUGUAACAGCAUUUUUUUGUGAUAGCAAAGAGUUGGAAACAAAGUAGAUGUCCAUCAAGUGGGAAAUAGCAGAACAAAUUCUGGUGCAUUGAAUGUAAUGAAAUGUAACAGUAUUAUAAGAAAUGAUGACUAUGAUGAAUCCGGAAAAAUCCAUGAAAAGAUCUAUAUGAACUGAUGCAGAGUGAAGUAGACAGAGCCAAGAAAACAAUACAUAAAAAGGACUUCAACAAUCUAAGUGGAAAGAAUGAUUACAAGAAUCAGAAGUAAAUAUGAAAUUGUAAAGAACAAGCAUGGCUGGAAAGAAGAGAGAGGAGAAGAUUCCCCUCCCAAACCCUUUGCAGAUGUGGGAGGUCCAUGAGGAUGGCACAUCACACAUGCUUUCAGAUUUUUUUCAAUGUAUUGAUCAGCGAGGCUGAAUUUUUUCCCCCUUUUUUUGUCUUAAAAAUAUUUGUUAUAUGCGAUGGCUCUCUGGAAGGGGGUGGGAUACUGGGGAAAAUUACGGUGAUAUAAAAGGGGGAAAAAACAAGUGGCUUCAAUAAAAUUUAUUUUAAGGUAAUUUUCUAGGGCUUUGCUUUUGGAACCAAUGAAGUUUUGUAAAAGAAGUAUGCCGCACUCUGAAGUUAGACGGUGCAAUGUUUCUAGGCAACUCCUGUGCAUUUCAAAAGUGAGAUAGGCAUCUUACAUCCAUCCAUCAUGUUGGCAAAAAUAGCUAAAAAAACACAAUUAAAUGUUGUUUGUUUUUCAGUCUUCAAUCUCUCCCUAUC